AAAAAGGUUUAUAAAUGUUAAUAUGGUUUUAUCAACUACAUUGAUAAAGUAAAUUGGCCACCAUAAAGAGUUUCUAGGCUGAUAUUUCAAGCAUUAGCCCCUCGUCAGAGCCAAUAGAGGAAUUGUGGGUUGUGUGUGUUUAUAUGCAGAAAAUAGAGCUAAGGCUAUUAGUGGGAACAUGGUAACAAGAAAAACAUGAAUAAACUAGCUGAAUGAAAAGUGUACAUUGAUACAAAGGGGAUUAAGAGCACUGAUUUGAAAGAUAAAUUUUUGUUCUACAGUUUUGUGGCUUUCUGAACUCCUUAGAUGUAGGGGAAGGCCACAGACUGAUAUAUGCUGCUUGGAAUGAUUAGAGGAAUUAAAGUUUUUAGAGACUGGUUUGGAAGCAUCAUUGUCAUUCUUCUAUACAUCCCAAAGAUGUUCUCAGAAUAGUCAAUAAGAUGCCUUCCUGUUUUACCAAGGUAUAUCUUUUACAAGUCAUGCAAAACAUGACAUUGGCAGAGGUGCAUGUGAAGCAAUUAUUAAUCCUAAUGCAUCAUUUGAGUCCCAGUAUUUCUUGACAUAAUGAACCAAAGGACAAGUUUUACACUGUGGGAGAGCGCAGGUGAAAGUUCCAGGGUAGUGGCCCACUUGGAUGGCAGAAACAGGAUAGCCACAUUUUUCCAAAAACUGGCGCAUUACCUCUGAUUUGUUAGAAAAAUCAGAGUUGUCACUACAUAAACAAUGAAGUCUAAGAAACUAAGAAAAAGGAAUAGAAUUCUUGACAUGUGAUGGAAUCAAAGAUGAAUACAACAAGUAACUAUGUGAGCAUGUAGGUUUGUAGUAUGCACUAAGUGUAUGGACCAUUGCCUUCAGGUUUGGGGCAGUUGUAUUGACUGAAAAAUUUGUGUUUGAUAAAACCUACAGAAAGAUAAGUGGUAAUUGGUUCCCAUUCAUAAAUGUUAGCUGAGAGUGUGAAAUAAAAAAAAAAUAAAAUAAAA